rnacentral:rRNA from 1 species
AGUGGCGAAAGGGGCAGUAAUGCGUGGGUAACCUACCCUGGGGACUGGGAUAGCCUUCCUAACGGAAGGGUAAUACCGGGCAAUGUAGCUGGGAGGCAUCUUCUGGCUACCAGAUGAGUUUCGCCCUGGGAGGGGCUCACGUCGUAUUAGCUAGUUGGUGAGGUAAUGGCUCACCAAGGCAAAGAUGCGUAGCGGGUGUGAGAGCACGACCCGCGCCACUGGCACUGAGACACUGGCCAGACACCUACGGGUGGCUGCAGUCGAGGAUCUUUGGCAAUGGACGCAAGUCUGACCAAGCGACGCCGCGUGUGCGAUGAAGGCCUUCGGGUUGUAAAGCACUGUCGAGGGGGAGGAAGCCGCAAGGUUGACCGAUCCCUGGAGGAAGCACGGGCUAAGUUCGUGCCAGCAGCCGCGGUAGACGAACCGUGCGAACGUUGUUCGGAAUCACUUGGGCUUUAAGGGCGCGUAGGCCGGCUCGCCCAAAGUUCAGGGGUUGAAAUACUUUCAGCUUAACUUGGAGAAGUCCCUUGAUACUGGCGGGCUUCGAGGNAGUUAGGGCCAUUGUGGAACUUUCUGGUGGGACCGGUUAAAUGGCGUUGAUAUCAAGAANGGAACCCCGGUUGGCNGAAAACGAACGUGCUUGGACCUUCNUUCUUGACCGCUGAGGCGCCGAAAAGCUAAGGGGAAGCCAACGGGGAUUAGAUACCCCCGGUAGUUCCUAGCCCCUAAACGAUGGGUACUAGAUUGUAGACUUGACAUGGGUUUACAGUCGAAGCAAAAGUGUUAAGUUACCCCCGCCUGGGGAGUAUGGUCGCAAGGCUGAAACUCAAAGGAAUUGACGGGGGCUCACACAAGCGGUGGAGCAUGUGGCUUAAUUCGAGGCUACGCGAAGAACCUUAUCCUGGGCUUGACAUGUGCGAAAGCGCUAGCAAGUAGGGAGCGGAAACGUUUCCCCAACGGUAUCCAGUCCGGAAGCUAGUACAGGUGCUGCAUGGCUGUCGUCAGCUCGUGUCGUGAGAUGUCGGGUUAAGUCCCAUAACGAGCGAAACCCUUGCCUCUAGUUGCCAAUAUUAAGUUAGGGACUCUAGAGGGACUGCCGGUGUUAAACCGGAGGAAGGUGGGGAUGACGUCAAGUCCUCAUGGCCUUUAUGCCCAGGGCUGCACACGUGCUACAAUGGUGCGUACAAAGGGACGCAAACCCGCGAGGGGGAGCAAAUCCCAAAAAACGCACCCCAGUUCAGAUCGAAGGCUGCAACUCGCCUUCGUGAAGUUGGAAUCGCUAGUAAUCGCAGGUCAGCAACACUGCGGUGAAUGUGUUCCUGAGCCUUGUACACACCGCCCGUCAAGCCACGAAAGGGAGGGACGGCCGAAGUCGUCUUCACAGACGCCGACGCCGGACUUUCUGAUUGGGACUAAGUCGUACAAGGUAACCGUAGGGGAACCUGCGGCUGGAUCACCUCCUU